rnacentral:rRNA from 1 species
CCUACGGGAGGCUGCAGUGGGGAAUAUUGCACAAUGGGGGGAACCCUGAUGCAGCAAUGCCGCGUGGGUGAAGAAGCACUCCGGUGCGUAAAGCCCUGUCAGCAGGGAAGAAAAUGACAGUACCUGACCAAGAAGCCCCGGCUAACUACGUGCCAGCAGCCGCGGUAAUACGUAGGGGGCAAGCGUUAUCCGGAUUUACUGGGUGUAAAGGGAGCGCAGGCGGUAUGGCAAGUCAGAUGUGAAAACCCAGGGCUCAACCCUGGGACUGCAUUUGAAACUGCCAUACUGGAGUGUCGGAGAGGUAAGUGGAAUUCCUAGUGUAGCGGUGAAAUGCGUAGAUAUUAGGAGGAACACCAGUGGCGAAGGCGGCUUACUGGACGGUAACUGACGCUGAGGCUCGAAAGCGUGGGGAGCAAACAGGAUUAGAUACCCUGGUAG